AUAAGACACGAUUCAUAUCUGAUAACUGUUACAAUAAUUGCCAAAACUACAGUUUAUAUUAGUGUCAUGAUUUGCACUUGAGUUUUGUAUCGACAGGGCCACUGCCAAUUUAGGCAUGUUUUAAUUAUGACACUUAAACAAUUGUAUAUGUACAUCGAUAAAAGUUUUUGCAAUCAUGGAAACAUAAGUGAAUUGCAGACAGCAUUCUUGUUUUACGAAUGUAAAAUGGCUGGAGUAGUGAUGUCACUAGCUAGAUUAAUUUUCAUUUGACCUCCCCCACAGAAAGACACAGCACAUCAUUAUAUCGUUGGCUCCGCCCACUGGUGUUCAGUCUAAAGUAGUAGUUGUUGACAAUCAUAAAGUUGUAAAAACAGUAAGAUUGUGAUGUCAGACAAACAUUGUGCUGUUGCUGGCUGUGGGAAAUUAGUGUCUUUGUAAGGGUCGCAAAUAAUUUGAAAAUAUUUAUGUUUCAAAAUAUUGCCCCCCUACCAUGAACUAAACUGGACUGUCGCAGAGACCAAGUGUAGUAAGGUACGGAGCGCUCACACUAGUCACACCAAACUUUGGAGGUUUCUGAAUUGAUGUCAGAUGCAAAGCAGAAGUUUAUUUUCUUCCAGUUUGGCUUCAUUGUGGAAAAAUGCUGGAAACUAAAAUGCAGAACAUGAUGCACGAUGGGAUGCACAAAGUGAUAUUUGGACGCAGCCUCAGUCUGUCAGAUCAAAGAGACAUACAGAAUUCAUAGAGCAGUGGGACUCCAUGAACAGAGUUGAGAACCACUGGUGUAACUCAUUAUGCUUACCUGACUCAUGCAGAAUUCUGGCCUGGUGUUUGGUCCACCCUUUCUCUGGCUUGUGUCUCCGUCUCCAUCAUCAUUAUACUCUUGUCAGUGUUAUAGUAUUGUCGUCUGCGUACCAGGACUUUGUUUCUCAGCUGUCCCUUCUCCUUCAAGCUACAUUUUUGUCAAGCUGCAACAAGUUGGAAUACAUAAUUAUUAACGUUUAAGGAUUUUGAUGUAUGAAAUAUGUAACAAAAGCAAAAAAUGUACAGACAUUCUAUUAAGAAAUUACCUUUUUGUUGUUUGUUUACUGACCUUUCAACCAUAUUGCAUUUAAAAUUGAUCAUCAUACCUUUGGUCUACUGUUAACAGACUACUGUAGAAAACUUUGAAUAAAGUAAAAAAAAAAGAGAAAAAAUUAUAAAUGCUGAAUGUGUCUCAUCUUAAAUACAUUGUUGUUGUUUUUUUCAUUGAAUUUGGAUGUUUUGAUGAUUUAAGGAAAAUUUACGUAGCAUAUAUAUUGAUGUUUUAAUUCAGAGUUUGUUAAUGACACUUAAUCAUUAACAAACAUUUAAAAAGGUUUAUUACAAUACUAAUUGAUAAUAUUAAAUUAAUGUAAUAAUCUUGUUUUGUUACACCCUAAAUCACUGAGCGCACAAACGCUACCCCAGUUACAAGCAUGGAUGGUUGACUUCAUGCAGACAUGGGCAGACAUCGAAGUACCGCGAGAGUGAUUCAAAAGCCCACGAAACAGUGUAAUCACGCGGUACUGUGACGUCAUACUGGUUAACGCUAAGCCACGUGAAGCGCCCGGACACAAGGGCUGCACUAAUCUUUGGGCUGGAGUAGCCUGUGGCUUACGUGUCUCGUCGCAGAACGAUUUAUUUCUCUUUUUCACCUCGAUCUUUGGCCUCUUGUGAUUUAACAAAACCAACAUGUGAAGUUACAACGCUGACGAAGGAGUUUAAUCAGUAACGUUAGAGUGUGUCCUGGUAAACGUGUGCUUGGAAACAUGCAGAUUACAGUAUUUACAGAGCCGACCUUGAGGCUAUUUUUUUUGCAUGACAUCCACUGAUGGAUAAUCUGUUUACCUAAAAACAGCACUUCAGGAGAAACCUGCCUGUGAUCUGCUAAGAUGCACAGAUUCAACUCUGGCCCAUUGUCAUUCCAACACCUUAUCUGCCAUCAGUUUCGUUUAGUGUCGAUCUAUUGCAAAAGUUCUUAUAAACUUUAAAUGAGACUUUGUGUUAAGCAGGGGUUUCCAAACUUUUAAUUUCACAACAUAUUAAGCCCAGGAUACACAGCAGGAUUUUUUGCAAUCCAAUAGACCUUAUCACACUGUGUGACAAGAAUUGUUUAAACUUUAGCAGUAGACUGUCGAUGAAGACACCUAUUGCAUCUGAGGCUGCGACAUCCGUCAUCAGCAUGCGCUAGUGGUAA